rnacentral:rRNA from 1 species
AUUGAACGCUGGCGGCAGGCCUAACACAUGCAAGUCGAGCGAGCGGCGGACGGGUGAGUAAUGUCUGGGAAACUGCCUGAUGGAGGGGGAUAACUACUGGAAACGGUAGCUAAUACCGCAUACCAUCAGAUGUGCCCAGAUGGGAUUAGCUAGUAGGUGGGGUAAUGGCUCACCUAGGCGACGAUCCCUAGCUGGUCUGAGAGGUUGACCAGCCACACUGGAACUGAGACACGGUCCAGACUCCUACGUGAGGCAGCAGGGGGGAAUAUUGCACAAUGGGCGCAAGCCUGAUGCAGCCAUGCCGCGUGUGUGAAGAAGGCCUUCGGGUUGUAAAGCACUUUCAGCGGGGAGGCGUUACUCGCAGAGUAAGCACCGGCUAACUCUGGGCCAGCAGCCGCGGUAAUC